GAGGAAUAUUGCACAAUGGGCGCAAGCCUGAUGCAGCAACGCCGCGUGCGGGACGAAGGCCUUCGGGUCGUAAACCGCUUUUCUGGGGAAAGAGCAAGGACGGUACCUCAGGAAUAAGUCUCGGUUAACUACGUGCCAGCAGCCGCGGUAAAACGUAGGAGGCGAGCGUUAUCCGGAUUUACUGGGCGUAAAGCGCACGCAGGCGGCUCUGUGAGUCGGACGUGAAAGCUUCCGGCUUAACCGGGAGAGGCCGUUCGAUACUGCGGGGCUUGAGGUAGGGAGAGGAAUGCGGAAUUCCCGGUGUAGUGGUGGAAUGCGUAGAUAUCGGGAGGAACACCUGUGGCGAAAGCGGCAUUCUGGCCCUCACCUGACGCUGAGGUGCGAAAGCGUGGGUAGCAAACAG
rnacentral:rRNA from 1 species